GACGAACCGUACGAACGUUAUUCGGAAUCAUUGGGCUUAAAGGGCGCGUAGGCGGCGGCGUAAGUUCGUGGUGAAAUCCCAUCGGCUCAACCGUGGAAUCGCUUCGAAUACUGCGUCGCUCGAGUGGGAUAGGGGACCGCAGAACUGCCGGUGGAGCGGUGAAAUGUGUUGAUAUCGGCGGGAAUGCCAGUGCCGAAAGGGGCGGUCUGGACCCUCACUGACGCUGAGGCGCGAAAGCUAGGGGAGCAAACGGG
rnacentral:rRNA from 1 species